rnacentral:rRNA from 1 species
UACGUAGGGUGCAAGCGUUGUCCGGAAUUAUUGGGCGUAAAGAGCUCGUAGGUGGCGGGUCACGUCGGGUGUGAAAGCCCGGGGCUUAACCCCGGGUCUGCAUUCGAUACGGGUCUGCUGGGGUCCGGCAGGGGAGACUGGAAUUCCUGGUGUAGCGGUGAAAUGCGCAGAUAUCAGGAGGGACACCGGUGGCGAAGGCGGGUCUCUGGGCCGUAACUGACGCUGAGGAGCGAAAGCAUGGGGAGCGAACAGG